rnacentral:rRNA from 1 species
UACAGAGGUCUCAAGCGUUGUUCGGAUUCAUUGGGCGUAAAGGGUGUGUAGGUGGCGCCCGUAAGUCGGGUGUGAAAUUUCGGAGCUUAACUCCGAAACUGCAUUCGAUACUGCGGUGCUUUGAGGACUGGAGAGGAGACUGGAAUUCAUGGUGUAGCAGUGAAAUGCGUAGAGAUCAUGAGGAAGACCAGUGGCGAAGGCGGGUCUCUGGACAGUUCCUGACACUGAGACACGAGGCCAGGGGAGCAAACGGG